rnacentral:rRNA from 1 species
UACGAAGGGGGCUAGCGUUGCUCGGAAUCACUGGGCGUAAAGCGCACGUAGGCGGAUUGUUAAGUCAGGGGUGAAAUCCCGGAGCUCAACUCCGGAACUGCCUUUGAUACUGGCGAUCUUGAGUCCGGGAGAGGUGAGUGGAACUGCGAGUGUAGAGGUGAAAUUCGUAGAUAUUCGCAAGAACACCAGUGGCGAAGGCGGCUCACUGGCCCGGUACUGACGCUGAGGUGCGAAAGCGUGGGGAGCGAACAGG